UACGUAGGUGGCAAGCGUUGUCCGGAUUUACUGGGCGUAAAGAGCGCGCAGGCGGUCGUUCAAGUCGCGUGUGAAAGCCCCCGGCUCAACUGGGGAGGGUCACGCGAUACUGAUCGACUCGAAGGCAGGAGAGGGAAGUGGAAUUCCCGGUGUAGUGGUGAAAUGCGUAGAUAUCGGGAGGAACACCAGUGGCGAAGGCGGAUCUCUGGGCAGUUCCUGACACUGAGGCACGAAGGCCAGGGGAGCAAACGGG
rnacentral:rRNA from 1 species